CAGCCCCUCGAGUGGUGGGGAUGAUUAUUUGGCCUAAAGCGUCCGUAGCCUGCCGGGUAAGUUUCCCGUUAAAUCCAGCGUCUCAAGCGUUGGACUGCGGGAAAUACUGCCUGGCUAGAGAGUGGGAGAGGUCAGCGGUAUUCUGGGGGUAGGGGCGAAAUCCUUUGAUCCCCGGAGGACCACCAGUGGCGAAGGCUGCUAACUAGAACACGUCUGACGGUCAGGGACGAAAGCUGGGGUAGCGAACCGGAUUAGAUACCCGAGUAGUCC
rnacentral:rRNA from 1 species